rnacentral:tRNA from 1 species
GCCGGGGUGGCGGAAUUGGUAGACGCGCUAGAUUCAGGUUCUAGUGGGCAUUUAGCCUGUCGGGGUUCGAGUCCCCGCCUCGGCACCA